UCUCUCCCAUGAUGUCUAGUGCUGGGCUCCAGUCAUCCUUGAGGACACAUGUUUCCUAGAACCUUUGACACCUGAGAGUCUGGGGGUUC